GGCUUCAAGCCCGUCGCGGCUGGGCUGGGCUGGGCUGGCAGGCGGGCCCAGCCGGGCAGGGCUGCGGUGAUAAUGGCGGCGGCUCUCUUUCCUUCCUUCCUCCUUUCCUCCGUCCCCCCGGUCGUGGGGAGCCCGGAGCAGGAGGUGGGCCCGCGGCCAGGUUCUGGGCCGGAGAAGGGGCGACGUUCGGGCACCCCCCGAAUGGACAAUCUUUCCUUCUGUCGACGGCAGGGGCAGGCCUAGUUUGACUCUGACAGUCCUCCCACUAAGGAAUUCCUGGUGACUGGAAGGGGAGUGACUUGGGUCCUCAACCUCUAGCAGAGUGCCUUGGCUCCCUCCUGUGGUCCUGGGGAACCUCGGCCCCAGCCCUGCCUCCCCAGCCAGUCACAGCUCCUCCCUGGUCACCCUGAGGGAGCUCAGGGCCUGGCUGGUGGCUGGGCUCGUCUCCUUCUGUCCCCCACUCCUGUGGAGCCUGGCA
rnacentral:lncRNA from 1 species